rnacentral:rRNA from 1 species
CCUACGGGGGGCAGCAGUGGGGAAUAUUGGGCAAUGGAGGAAACUCUGACCCAGCAACGCCGCGUGAAUGAUGAAGGUCUUCGGAUUGUAAAGUUCUUUUCUAAGGGAAGAAGAAAGUGACGGUACCUUAGGAAUAAGCCUCGGCUAACUUCGUGCCAGCAGCCGCGGUAAUACGUAGGAGGCAAGCGUUAUCCGGAUUGACUGGGCGUAAAGGGUGCGUCGGUGGUUAGGCAAGUUGGUAGCGAAACUCCGGGGCUCAACCCCGGCACUACUACCAAAACGGGCGGACUGGAGUGCAGGAGGGGCAGAUGGAAUUCCUAGUGUAGCGGUGGAAUGCGUAGAUAUUAGGAGGAACACCAGUGGCGAAGGCGAUUUGCUGGACUGUGACUGACGCUGAGGCACGAAGGCGUGGGGAGCAAACAGGAUUAGAUACCCCAGUAGUC